rnacentral:rRNA from 1 species
CAGUAGCCGCGGUAAUACGUAGGGUGCAAGCGUUAAUCGGAAUUACUGGGCGUAAAGCGUGCGCAGGCGGUUUGUUAAGACAGAUAUGAAAUCCCCGGGCUUAACCUGGGAACUGCAUUUGUGACUGGCAAGCUAGAGUAUGGCAGAGGGGGGUGGAAUUCCGCGUGUAGCAGUGAAAUGCGUAGAUAUGCGGAGGAACACCGAUGGCGAAGGCAGCCCCCUGGGCCAAUACUGACGCUCAUGCACGAAAGCGUGGGGAGCAAACAGGAUUAGAUACCCGGGUAGUCCCUGUCUCUUAUAC